GGAGAGAUGGCCGAGUGGAUGAAGGCGCACGCCUGGAGAGCGUGUGGACGGGGAACCGUCUCGUGGGUUCGAAUCCCACUCUCUCCGCCA
rnacentral:tRNA from 1 species